rnacentral:rRNA from 1 species
ACUACGGGUGGCAGCAGUGGGGAAUAUUGCACAAUGGGGGAAACCCUGAUGCAGCGACGCCGCGUGAGUGAAGAAGUAUCUCGGUACGUAAAGCUCUAUCAGCAGGGAAGAAAAUGACGGUACCUGACUAAGAAUCCACGGCUAACAACGUGCCAGCAGCCGCGAUAAUAGGUGGGGGGCAAGCGUUAUCCGGAUUUACUGGGUGUAAAGGGAGCGUAGACGGCAGCACAAGUCUGGAGUGAAAUCCCGGGGCUGAACCCCGGAACUGCUUUGGAAACUGUGAGGCUGGAGUGCAGGAGGGGUAAGCGGAAUUCCUGGGGUAGCGGUGAAAUGCGUAGAUAUUAGGAGGAACACCGGUGGCGAAGGCGGCUUACUGGACUGUAACUGACGUUGAGGCUCGAAAGCGUGGGUAGCAAACAGGAUUAGAUACCCCUGUAGUC